UACGUAGGGGGCAAGCGUUGUCCGGAAUUAUUGGGCGUAAAGAGCGUGUAGGCGGCCCGGUAAGUCCGCUGUAAAAGUCCAGGGCUCAACCCUGGAAAGCCGGUGGAUACUGUCGGGCUAGAGUCCGGAAGAGGCGAGUGGAAUUCCUGGUGUAGCGGUGGAAUGCGCAGAUAUCAGGAGGAACACCGAUGGCGAAGGCAGCUCGCUGGGACGGUACUGACGCUGAGGCGCGAAAGCGUGGGGAGCGAACAGG
rnacentral:rRNA from 1 species